GACUUCGUGGCGCAAUUGGCUAGCGCGUCUGAUUCCAAGUCAUUAGCCAUCAGGAGGCUGUGUGUUCAAGUCACACCGAGGUCA